rnacentral:lncRNA from 1 species
AGAGAUCGAUUGUUAUAACAGAUAUAACAAAGGAAUACACUAUGCCGGACAUAUAAGUAAAAUACCAUCCGGUCUACCUUGUUUAAAGUGGAAUGGGGUUAAUAUCCAUCCUUUGCAUAACUACACAGAGGACCACAACUACUGUAGAAAUCCAUUACCGUCACAAGUUGACAGUCCAUUUUGUUAUACAACAGAAGUGUUUGCCUUUGAAAAAUGCACCAUUCCAGUCUGUGGUAAAGUAUUACAGUAUGCUAUAAUGUAAUGAAAUGAACAAAAGAAACAAAGAUCGUUCUUAAUCAUUAACUAGUUCUUAACAGUAUUCACAUUUGUUUUAUAAAUAACGUAACAUUGUAGAGAUAUUUCAUAAAUCAGAAAUAUUGUAUUGUGAAUUAACCUAAAGAUUUAAAAAAACAUUUGUUUUUAUACUUUUAUAAAAAUAAUAUUAAAUGUGCAAUAAUUAAUUUUUGUUAUUUAGCAAAACAAAGUCCAGUUACCUUGUUUAUCUAAGAUAUUUAAUUUUAUAAGAUAAUGUGGGACAAUCAGAAUUCUAAAAUUGCAAAAAGUGGGACACUCGGGAAACCUUUUCUACAUAUUAACACGUUUUUGUUGAUUAAAAAAUUAAAUGUGAACGAGAACGAAUCACAUUUGUUGUUCACUUUUUUCUUUAAGUAAUAGUUCUAGUACGGCUAGAUCGAUUCUGAAAAGAACACAGUAUUAUUAUUUUGAAAGUUUUAGCCUACAAAAGAUUCCAAUUAGAUUAAAAAUAAAGAAAUAUAUGAAAACAUUAAUGUUAAUUAAAUAUUCUAGUAAUCAAUAGUUCAUUGAUUGAAUGCAAAAAUUUAGAUUGUAGAAACUCAACAAAUGAUUUCGAUUACACUGGAAAUAUUAGGAUCACUAGAUUAGGUGAUAAUUGUGAUAACAGUCAAUACUGCAGGGCGCCAUCAAAUAAUCCCGACAGUGCCGGAGGUCCUUGGUGUUAUACAGAUAAACAAAAUCUAUACUGGGAAUAUUGUAAUGUACCAGUAUGUGAAAGUAAGUUUUGAAUUAAGAUGCAUUCUAUGAAAAUAUUAAAAGAGAUGUAAAAUGUCAACUGUGAUGUUAUAGUUAUGGCGAAUUUUGAAUAGUUGUAUGUUGAUGGAUUAUUAUCAUCAAUAGUUACACCUGAUGUUAAAGACGAAUAAUGCAAGAAUAAACCUCUGGUAGAUCGUUUAUAUGAGAACACACACAGC